rnacentral:ncRNA from 1 species
UCCAUCCCAGACCGAGUACCGUCAAAGUCCGCGCAAGCGGAGGCAGUCGGAAUCGAGGCCGCGCGGGCGGCCACGUCGUAAAGCUUUACCUGGGGACGUCCGAGAUUCCGU